UUUAUAAAAAUCUUCAUUAACCCAGAUUUCAACUCAAAUAUUCUCUCCAACCCUGUCGGAAUCUGCAUAUCCUGUAAAUGUCGGUUAAAUGAUCUACGCCGAGGUGAGAAUGUAUCUGUAAAUGUGCUUAUGAAGUGGAUUUUGAAUACUGAAAGGCUGAAAUUAUUACCGAGAUUUAAAGAAGAACCUGGUGAUCUCAGGACAUUUGGCGGUCUUGAUAUGAAUUACUCAGCUUAUUAAGAAAAUGGCUCUAAAAACAUGAAGAAUUACAAGAAUGUAAUCAAACCAUGUUUACUGAAGGAAUCAGAUAAUACCCAUGUCCUGGAUGUUGUACCCCCUCCAGAGCUGCAUUUGCUGAUGAAAAUCGUAACUGUGUGUGCUCAGCUUCUUUGUAAUCAGCCAGCUGUCGCUAAUCGGUUUAAAGCUUCUGGAAUUAUAUUCCAUGGUUAUAAUGGUGGAGGUCUAGAUGGAAGAAACAGUAACAAGGUGCUGAAAAAACUGGAGAGUCUUUCUUCUUUUGUAAUUGAAGAGUGUCCUGAUUACCUUCCAUUGGUUGAUCUUUUGAUGAAGUUUA